ensembl:lncRNA
GUUUAACAAAAAUAGAAUACACAGUUAUAAGUGAAUCAGAAUUUAUUUCAAUUUCACGAAGGAGUUUCGGGGAUUACACGGUUCUCAUAAUGUAUCACCUUGCUGUGCAAAGGCUGCUUCCUGCUGCAGGGCGGUGUAGGGAAAGCUGCUUUUAUUCAUAUGAGGAGACUUUUGCAUCAGCAAAUGAACGAUAUUACAGCUCUUAUGCAUUAGCCUUUCGGUAGCUUGACACGGGAAAGAAGGAAUUAGAGCAGUGUGUUAAAGGACGAGGUCUGCUUUCUUGCAUCUCAAGCGGUGGUAGAUUUGCAGAAUAGGCCUGCGAAGCAAUGUGCAGAGCACGAUGUUCAUUUUCAUAUGUCAGUAUGCGUCUGCACUGGAGACUGUCUUUCAGGAUCAUUUAGAUGAAAAGAUUAUAGUCAGAGCUCUUCCUUCAAAAACACACGCUAAAAAUAGUGGCAGGUACAAGAGGGUUUUUCUUCAAAGGACACGGUUAGAGAUUGCCAGAGCGGUGAACAAAGCCGGUUCUCUUGAGACAAGGAGAUACGGCAUCCUCAUUUCUCAACACAGUGCAUAUUUAUGGAACAGCAACAUCAGAAGGCACUGUGGAAUUAGAACUCUGACCUCUGGCUUUAGGAGAAGGCUGGUCCUGCAGUAAGUAAGCCUGGUGCUGAUGGUUUCCGCAAGCUUAUAAACAAUGCUCCACAUCUUAACCUCCUUCCCUCUGUCCCUUGCAAAUAUAUGCCAUGGAUAUAUACGUGACAUGUCACCAAGCUAUUUUAAGUCUUUCGUGACACCAGCAGAGAGGAGGAGGAGGAAGUUUGGGCAAAUGUGGGGGUGUAUUUUAUUCAAAUUCAGUUUACAUAGCUCCCGUGAGAAUGACAUGCUGCCGUGAAGAAUGGACAACUCAGAACACCACUCCGAAGCCCUGGGAAAAAAGUUCAUCUCUACAUUUGACUCCAUGGUCCUGUACUGGUGAAUGUGGCACCGCUGGAGCGGUACUGCAGGAACCAUUGCUUUCCCAGAGCAGAUCACAAAAAGGUCUGCAGUGGUAAGCCAUUGUUUGUAGGCUCUGAGGCACUUGGGCUGCAGAAUUUGGAACAAUGAUCCUCUCGGUGCAGAAAACGGAGAGCGUGGGCUCCAUCCAUCAUCCUUCCCAUGUGAGGAUGGGUUUCCAGGACUUCGCUGAGUGAUACCAAGAGGUUCAUAACUCAGAGAGCUUGAGAGAUAAGAUGGGUGGCAUCUUCUUCUUUGUAAGCAAGCAUUUGUUACCGGGAUUGUAUACCAUUAACUCUGUUUAUCACAGGUUCUUCUGAAGCAGUUUUUUAUGAAGGAGCAUUUGUAUGGACACCCGUGUUUUAGAUAAGAAACUGUGUGGUGAACACCACUGGGUAGUUAACAUGAAAAUGAUUCAUUCCCACAGCACUGGCAAGUGCAGAGAUUUCCAAGCCCAGGCCCAAGCACGGAGGUUUUUUAAGCCUUAUUGAAGAGAGUGGGAAGUCUGUUACAGAGAGUAAAAGGAAAGGCUCAUUCACCAAAUCUGGAUUGAGAAGGGCAGUAUGUAACUGUAGUAGCAGGGACUUCCCCCCAGACUCAUGGUAAGAGGCCUGGAAGUAUGAGAGCAUUACCAGAAAACUCUUGUGAGACAAGUCAAAGAGAAGAUGAGGAGUGAUAUGCCACUCUGCCCAAGUGUCUUUGCUGCAAGCAAGGAAAUGAUCUGAAUAGGUGUGAUCAAGGCUCUGAGUUGUUUGCGGAGCGGAUAAUAUAUAGGCGGAAGAAAAGACACGAUACAUCUUCAUCGGGAAAAACUUUACAUGUUGGCUCUUCACCUGUCAUUUAUUCAUCACAAUUCUGAGUUGUGCACUGCAGCUGAUGGACAUAACACACCCUGAGCUCCACUGUAAAAUGCAGUUCCUUCUGCCUGUGUAAGCUGAAUUCAAGACCCGG